GAGUUUGAUCUUGGCUCAGAGUGAACGCUGGCGGUAGGCCUAACACAUGCAAGUCGAACGGCAGCACAGUAAGAGCUUGCUCUUAUGGGUGGCGAGUGGCGGACGGGUGAGGAAUACAUCGGAAUCUACGUUUUUCGUGGGGAUAACGUAGGGAACUUACGCUAAUACCGCAUUACGACCUACGGGUGAAAGCAGGGGAUCUUCGGACCUUGCGCGAUUGAAUGAGCCGAUGUCGGAUUAGCUAGUUGGCGGGGUAAAGGCCCACCAAGGCGACGAUCCGUAGGCUGGUCUGAGACGGAUGAUCAGCCACACUGGAACUGAGACACGGUCCAGACUCCUACGGGAGGCAGUCAGUGGGG
rnacentral:rRNA from 1 species